AACGCACGAGACCUGCGGACCUGCGGAAGGAUCAUUACUGAGUGAGGGCCCCUCGGGGUCCAACCUCCCACCCGUGUUUAACGAACCUUUGUUGCUUCGGCGGGCCCGCCUCACGGCCGCCGGGGGGCUCCUGCCCCCGGGCCCGCGCCCGCCGAAGCCCCCCCUUGAACGCUGUCUGAAGUUUGCAGUCUGAGAAACUAGCUAAAUUAGUUAAAACUUUCAACAACGGAUCUCUAGAUC
rnacentral:misc_RNA from 1 species